GAGGUGCCUUUACUACAUGUGUGAUCUGAAAACCCUGCUUGGUUCUGAGCUGCGUCUAUUGAAUUGGUAAAGUAAUACCAAUGGCUUUUUAUCAUUUCCUUCUUCCCUUUAAGUUUCACUUGAAAUUUUAAAAAUCAUGGUUAUUUUUAUCGUUGGGAUCUUUCUGUCUUCUGGGUUCCAUUUUUUAAAUGUUUAAAAAUAUGUUGACAUGGUAGUUCAGUUCUUAACCAAUGACUUGGGGAUGAUGCAAACAAUUACUGUCGUUGGGAUUUAGAGUGUAUUAGUCACGCAUGUAUGGGGAAGUAGUCUCGGGUAUGCUGUUGUGAAAUUGAAACUGUAAAAGUAGAUGGUUGAAAG
rnacentral:lncRNA from 1 species